UAGGGAAUCUUCCACAAUGGACGCAAGUCUGAUGGAGCAACGCCGCGUGAGUGAAGAAGGUCUUCGGAUCGUAAAGCUCUGUUGUUGGUGAAGAAGGAUAGAGGCAGUAACUGGUCUUUAUUUGACGGUAAUCAACCAGAAAGUCACGGCUAACUACGUGCCAGCAGCCGCGGUAAUACGUAGGUGGCAAGCGUUGUCCGGAUUUAUUGGGCGUAAAGCGAGCGCAGGCGGAAUGAUAAGUCUGAUGUGAAAGCCCACGGCUCAACCGUGGAACUGCGUCGGAAACUGUCAUUCUUGAGUGCAGAAGAGGAGAGUGGAACUCCAUGUGUAGCGGUGGAAUGCGUAGAUAUAUGGAAGAACACCAGUGGCGAAGGCGGCUCUCUGGUCUGCAACUGACGCUGAGGCUCGAAAGCAUGGGUAGCGAACAGGAUUAGAUACCCUGGUAGUCCAUGCCGUAAACGAUGAGCGCUAGGUGUUGGGGACUUUCCGGUCCUCAGUGCCGCAGCAAAACGCAUUAAGCGCUCCGCCUGGGGAGUACGACCGCAAGGU
rnacentral:rRNA from 1 species